GUGCUUUCCGAUUGAUUGUUUAAAGUGUGCAAAGAAAAAAUCAAGAAAUAUGGAAGAAAAUAGAGGAAGAAGCUUACUUUGGGAUUACUUCAAUAAAUCUGAAACUGGAGACACCUCCUCUUGUAGAAAAUGUAAAAAAAAACUAAGUCAUGUAGUAACACUACCAAUUUAAGGAAUCACUCUAAGGCAAAGCAUCCACUUCUUUACGCUGAGAUGCAAAAUAUUCAUCGAAUAGAUAAAUCUGCGAGUAUUGAAAUAAGAGAUGAUGAAUCAAGAACGAAGUUCCUCAUCGCUCGUUACGCUCUAAGCAUUUACCGAAUGCGAGCUAGGCAAAAAAGUGUCGGUCGACACCCGAAACCGACACUUUUGCAGUUAGUUGAACAAUCCAUUGGAAAUUUUGCACAAAUGGUCAGUUCAGAUUGAUUUUGAGCAAAAUCCCUCAGCGGAAGGAGAACAAAAAUAAGGGAUAAUUUCGAUUUUUUCUUCGGCCAAUAAAUUAUUUCGAACUGAGAAUGUCGAGUUAUAAAGAGGAAAUGGAAGAUCUUUUUUCGCCAAGCAAUAUCGUGAUCCAAACUACUGAUGUAGACGAAAUCUCAGUAGUAUCGACAGAAUCGACAAACAAAUCCCUUCAACUUCCAAACAAGCGUCCAUAAAAAGCUUUACGAUGACAAAAAGUCACAAACCAAAACCAACAUGGCUUUGGCUUUUUUCGUAGGUACAGAAAUGAUGCCUUAUAAUAUAGUAGAAAAAGACGGUUACAAAAAAUUUGUACAAGUUUUAAAUGGAAGCUAUAAAUUACCCAGCAGAAACACAUUGUCACAAAAGUUAAUUCUUAAUUUGUUCAAUGAAACGCGCCGCGUUAUUGAAACCAUUUUAAAACAAGCCAAAUUUAUAUCUUGUACCACCGAUUGCUGGACUUCCAUUGCAAAUAGGUCCUAUAUCGCCCUUAGAUGCCAUUUUGUAGACGAAAAUUAUCAGUUAGUAAACGUUUGUUUGGACUGUUAUGUAUUGGAUGAAGAUCACACUGCUGAAAACUUAUGUAAUAAUAAAAAUCUUAUUAUAAACGAGUGGAGUAUUGAAGAAAAAGCAAAUACAUCAUUUACCACAGAUUACGGAAGUAAUGUAUUAAAAGCUAUUAAGGAUAUGGGAAUAGCCCAUAUAUGUUGUUUUGGACAUGCAAUUAAUAUUGCAGUAAAUAAAUGCGAAACUAUACGUAAAAUUGGAAAAAUUCUGAAUAUUUUGCACAAUGUUGGAAAGCUGUCAGAGAUUUAAAAAUAGUUCAAAAAAAAUACAACACUAAGGAAACAAAAAUUCCUUCCUUCUCUAAAACGCGAUGGUGGUCUCUUUUAAAUUUAAUCAAGAUAAUUGUUCAACAAGAAGUAAAUCUCUUAAAUUUUUUACAAAUUUAUAUCCUUAUGUCCUUAAUGUUAUCCUGAAAUUACUAACUCCAAUUCAAAACAUUCCAGAAACUCUGUCUGGAGAAAAUUAUGUAACGGGAUCUACCAUUUUACCUAUUUCUUUGGAAUUAGGUAAAACACCGGUAGAUGAAUACACUGAAAUUGAUGAAGACAUUGUAGAACUAAAAAGCGAAAUAGCUUCAUUAAUUUUAAACCCACUUAAAAACAGAUAUGAAAGCAACGAGAAAACUCAUAAACUAUUGCAGACUGCCACCUUCAUGGACCCACGUUUUAAAGGAUACUUUUUUAGUUCUGCAGAAAACCAGAUAAUUGAGGAUAUGAUAUUAUUUACAACUUAGUAGCGAAUUAGAAAUAAUUCCAGUUUCUGAGAAUAGAGCUGCGUCAUAGCUAUAUACAAUAUACAAAAAAGUGACCAGGAUGUUUUUUUAACUAUGAGUACGACGUUUGUUAACUUUCCUAAAAAUUUAUAAUAA